rnacentral:rRNA from 1 species
AUUGAACGCUGGCGGCAGGCUUAACACAUGCAAGUCGAACGAGUGGCGGACGGGUGAGUAAUGCUUGGGAAUCUAGCUUAUGGAGGGGGAUAACUACGGGAAACUGUAGCUAAUACCGCGUACCAUAGGAUGACCCCAAGUGGGCAUAGGUAGUGGUUGGGGUAAAGGCUCACCAAGCCGACGAUCUCUAGCUGGUCCGGGAGGAUGACCAGCCACACUGGGACUGAGACACGGCCCAGACUCCUUCGGGAGGCAGCAGUGGGGAAUAUUGCGCAAUGGGGGCAACCUGACGCAGCCAUGCCGCGUGAAUGAAGAAGGCCUUCGGGUUGUAAAGUUCUUUCGGUAGCGAGGCGUUAACUACAGAAGAAGCACCGGCUAACUCCGUGCCAGCCGCCGCGGUAAUAC